CUUUAAUUCAAAAUCUAUUUUCUGGAGAAGAUGUUAAUGAUAUAAUACAAGCUGCAAGACAGGUUCCUGAUGCUACUAGUGCUCAAAACCAUUUGAAUUCACUUAGUCCAAACAACAACGAAAAUAAU